GCUCAACCGGGGAGGGUCAUUGGAAACUGGGGAACUUGAGUGCACAAGAGGAGAGUGGAAUUCCACGUGUAGCGGUGAAAUGCGUAGAGAUGUGGAGGAACACCAGUGGCGAAGGCGACUCUCUGGUCUGUAACUGACGCUGAGGCGCGAAAGCGUGGGGAGCGAACAGGAUUAGAUACCCUGGUAGUCCACGCCGUAAACGAUGAGUGCUAAGUGUUAGAGGGUUUCCGCCCUUUAUUGCUGCAGCAAAAGCAUUAAGCACUCCCCCUGGGGAGUACGGUCGCAAGACUGAAACUCAAAAGAAUUGACGGGGGCCCGCACAAGCGGUGGAGCAUGUGGUUUAAUUCGAAGCAACGCGAAGAACCUUACCAGGUCUUGACUUCCUCUGACAACCCUAGAGAUAGGGCUUCCCCUUCGGGGGCAGACUGACAGGUGGUGGAUGGUUGUCGUCAGCUCCUGUCGUGAGAUGUUGUGUUAAGUCCCGCCCCAGCGCAACCCUUGGUCUUACUUGCCAGCCUUCAGUUGGGCACUCUAACGUGACUGCCGGUGACAAACCGGACGAAAGGUGGGGAUGACAUAAAUCAUCAUGCCCCUUAUGACCUGAGCUACACACGUGCUACAAUGAGGCAGAACAAAA
rnacentral:rRNA from 1 species